rnacentral:lncRNA from 12 species
UUUGACCAUUGCCUGAUUCCUAGCAUCUAUAUCANNNNNNNNNNGAUUCGGGACGGGGGUUUGGCGGUGCUGGCGCUCAGCGAGGGCCGUGUGCUGGCCGGCUUGGCGAGGGCGGCGGGCGGCUGGCGAGCGGGCGAGGGCGCUGGCGACGGGCUGGCACUGCCCGACUGCAGCCCCGCCGCGGCCUUGGCCGGCUUGGGCGCCGUGGGCGGCGGCGGCGGCUUGGGAGACACGGGCGGCGGCGUGCCGUGGGCGCGCUUCACCUCUGCGGGGAGGAGGAGACUCGCACCGGGGGCGGGGGGCGGCGGGACACACACCUGCCCUCGCGGCGGGAGUCCUGCCGGGGCCCCGCCCCCGGCGCGCGUCCACCUCCCGCCCCCCCUUCCCCGGACUCCCCGCUGCCGCCAGGGGGCGCGCAGCACAGGUCGGUGCCGUGGUUUCUAUUGUUCUCGCAGACGUUGCCCCUGUAGAGCGCUCAGCUGGUGCUUGGUACAUAAGAAGGGAUUAACAACUGGGCGUCCUGGCCCCUCUCCCCACCUGGCAGAGGUGCUGGGGCUGCUCAGGCUGGGUAGGGGGCCCCGCCCUAUCUGUCAGUUAAGCCCAGGGGAGGGACAUGUGCGGUCCCCAGGCUCUACCCAGAGCCCCGCAAAAGAGGCCAACAGCCCAGGGCCUGGCCUCCGGGACACAUGUGGGACUGCAUAGACACGUGGGAGAGCCUUCCAGCCUUCCCUGAGCCCCCCCUCUCCUGCUCUCAGGCUCUUUUGUGGGUUCGCACUGCUCCGGAUGCCCUUCCGAUGCUGGGGUGCACAGAGCUCUGACUCUCCCAGCCUUCCGACCCCACAUAUGCAUCAGAGCUGCCUCUGAGUCCAGCGGGGCUCCUGUGCUCAGAGAGGAGAAUGAGGAGGAGAACAUGCGAGGUGUGGGGGCGGCCCCGAAGGGGCAAGGUCAGGGGGCGCUGAGCCAGCAGGAUGGGUUCUUUCAUCCUGCGUCCUAGAACAUAGACUGUGCAUCCUGCGUCCUAGAACAUAGACUGUGCAUCUCUGAACCUCAGUUUCCUUGUCUCCAAAAUGAUGGUGGUUUCUUCUUGACAGAGCCGUUGUGAGGACCUGGUGCGUAAUGCAGUAAAACGUUCAGCACGGUCUGGCGGUUCCUCCAAAAGUUAAACAUAGAGUUACCAUGUGACCCAGCAGUUCCACUCCUAGUACACGGAGAGAUGAAAACAUGUACUCAGAGACACACUCGCCUGGGGAUGUUCACAGCAGUAUCAUUCGUAAUAGUCAAAAGGUGGAAACAAGUGAUAUCCAUCAGCAGGUGAGUGGGUGAACAACACGUGGUCCAGCCACACAACAGAAUAUUAUUUGGCCACAAAAAGGAAUGAAGCUCUGACACCUGCUACCACCUGGCAGUAGCUCGGCGAGAGACCAGACACAAAGGUCACAUAUUGGAAGGUUCCCUUUCCAUGCAAUAUCUUGAAUAGGCGAAUCCAUAGAGAUAGAAAGUAGCUUGGUGUUUGCCAGGGGUUGGGAGGCUAAGGGGGGACAGGUAAUGGGGAGAGACUGCACACAGGUACAGGGUGGGCUGAUGAAAAUGUUCUGGAACUAGACAGAGGUAGUGACUGCACAGCACUGCACAUGUUUUAAGGGUCAUUGGGGGGGGAAGGGUCAUUGAAUUGUUCACUUUAAAAAGGUGAAUUUCAGGGGCG